CUAAGCAUCGGUUCACUCCUUUCCAUAUUGGAGAUGUGGGGAAAACUCAUUGGAUGAAGGAAGCUCCUCCUCAAGCAAAUGAAGACGAAAGCAUUGUUUCUGAGCUGCGGCAUCGAGAAGAUGUGUUACUUCCUAAUCCGUCGUUCACAAGGGAGGAGUGCGGCAUCACCGACGAUAGGACAUCGCUCACAGUGAAAAGGCGCCCACUUUUCGUCCUCCAACCUCGGGAAUCACCCCGGAGUGCCCCGACAGUCCAGGAUGUUCCUGUGGACCCUUGUCGUUCUCCACAAAAAAGAAAUCGGAGGCUGUAAUCAGGCUCAUGACAAGCGUCGGAUAGUCGGAGUCGGAGUUCUCGUAUGCAUUCAGAAGGGUGCCGACCAUGUGGUGUUUAUCCAAAAACGAGUUGCAGAGAAAGAUGGAAUUUUUGGUCAAGAAAGUUGAAUAUACAGCAUCCCACAUUGCCCGCCAUCCAAUACUGUUAUUUAGUUUGAAGAACAGGAUGAUACCUCGGUAUCGUGUGAUGGAAAAUUGCAAGUCUAAAGGAUUGCAUAGGGGGCACUGCAAGCACUAUACCAUCUUUAGUUUAUCGGAAAAUGUAUUUAUGCAGAAGAUUGUUCUCAUCGACAAAGAAAAAGGACCUGAGCUGCUUGACAUCUAUGUAAGUACCUGAGAUGAUCCCACCACAUUGGUAUUCUGAAGAUAUCAUGGAUGGGGCUCAUUUGAAGUCCUUUUCAGGGUUAUGAAAUUGCUGCAGUCUUACAUCAAUUAAUUGUUGCUACAACAAUGCUGAAAGAAGCUAAGCGAUGUGAGUUGCAACGACACUUAGAGAGAGGAAAGAUUUGUACAUUCUUCAAUUGUUGCCCCAGAUUUUGCACAAAGAUAAUUUCAUCCUCAUCCAAUUACUAGGUGUGGAGAUGGCCGGACUUGUUCGAUUUGUAAUAGGUACUUCCGAAGCUAAAGGCCGAGUAUAUGUCGUGCUGUCUGCAAAUUCAUCAGGUAUACUAUGAGACUGUGAUGUCCAACUUGACAACAACUGUUUGCUGCCAUGUUUUUGUAGGAUUGUAUGAAUGAUUUUAUUC